rnacentral:rRNA from 1 species
UCGGAGGCAGCAUGGGAAUUUCGCAAUGGGCAUCUGACGAGCAGACGCGUGCGGGAGGACGCUUGGGUUGUAAACGCUUUGUCAGGGAAGAAAAUGACGUACUGACGAUCAGCUCGGCUAACUCCGUGCCAGCAGCGCGGUAAUACGGAGGAGGCAAGCGUUAUCCGGAAUGAUUGGGCGUAAAGCGUCGUAGGUGGUUGACCAAGUCAGCUGUCAAAGCGUGGGGCUUAACUCAUAAGGGCGGUGAAACUGGUGAGCUAGAGUGCGGUAGGGGUCAGAGGAAUUCCCAGUGUAGCGGUGAAAUGCGUAGAGAUUGGGAAGAACACCGGCGGCGAAAGCGUCUGACUGGGUUGCACUGACACUGAGGGACGAAAGCUAGGGGAGCGAAAGGGAUUAGAUACCCCCUGUAGUCCUAGCUGUAAACGAUGGGUACUAGGUGUUGUCCGUAUCGACCCGGGCAGUGCCGUAGCUAACGCGUUAAGUACCCCGCCUGGGGAGUACGCACGCAAGUGUGAAACUCAAAGGAAUUGACGGGGGCCCGCACAAGCGGUGGAGUAUGUGGUUUAAUUCGAUGCAACGCGAAGAACCUUACCAGGGCUUGACAUGUCCGGGAUCUUCUUGAGAGGGGAGAGUGCCUUCGGGAACCGGAACACAGGUGCUGCAUGGCUGUCGUCAGCUCGUGUCGUGAGAUGUUGGGUUAAGUCCCGCAACGAGCGCAACCCUCGUCAUUAGUUGCCAGCAUUAAGUUGGGCACUCUAACGAGACUGCCGGUGACAAACCGGAGGAAGGUGGGGAUGACGUCAAGUCAGCAUGGCCCUUACGUCCUGGGCUACACACGUACUACAAUGCGGUGGACAGAGGGUAGCGAGCACGCGAGUGUCAGCCAAUCCCGUAAACCACGGCUCAGUUCAGAUUGCAGGCUGCAACUCGCCUGCAUGAAGGCGGAAUCGCUAGUAAUCGCCGGUCAGCAUACGGCGGUGAAUACGUUCCCGGGCCUUGUACACACCGCCCGUCACACCAUGGGAGUUGGUUUUGCCCGAAGUCGUUACUCCAACCUGCGAAGGAGGAGGAUGCCGAAGGCAGGGCUGAUGACUGGGGUGAAGUCGUAACAAGGUA